rnacentral:rRNA from 1 species
AACGAACGCUGGCGGCAGGCUUAACACAUGCAAGUCGAACGCCCCGCAAGGGGAGUGGCAGACGGGUGAGUAACGCGUGGGAACGUACCUUUCAGUUCGGAAUAACUCAGGGAAACUUGUGCUAAUACCGGAUACGUCCGUAAGGAGAAAGAUUUAUCGCUGAAAGGUCGGCCCGCGUUGGAUUAGCUAGUUGGUGGGGUAAUGGCCUACCAAGGCGACGAUCCAUAGCUGGUCUGAGAGGAUGAUCAGCCACACUGGGACUGAGACACGGCCCAGACUCCUACGGGAGGCAGCAGUGGGGAAUAUUGGACAAUGGGCGAAAGCCUGAUCCAGCCAUGCCGCGUGAGUGAUGAAGGCCUUAGGGUUGUAAAGCUCUUUCACCGAUGAAGAUAAUGACGGUAGUCGGAGAAGAAGCCCCGGCUAACUUCGUGCCAGCAGCCGCCGUAACAC